AUGCAAGAGCGCUGGCCGGACGAAGAUGAAGGACGGACAAUCUAUAUCCAACAAGAUAAUGCCACGCCACAUAUUCUUCCCAAUGACCCAGUUUUUCGACAAGUCAUAGAACAGACUGAUUUGGAUAUUAAGUUGCUUCAACAGCCUCCAAAUAGUCCCGACAUGAACAUUCUUGAUCUCUGCAUAUUCAGGUCUCUCCAGUCCCACACCGAUAGCAGAGGACCUCAAAGCAUCAGGGAACUGAUAGAAGGUGUGGAGGAGGAAUAUCGAAACUACCCGGUUGAUAAGCUAGCUAGAAGCUUCGUGACGCUGCAGUCAUGCAUUCGAGAAGUAAUGAGAAACAAGGGAGCGAUAAACUACUCGAUCCCUCACAUGAACAAGGAAUGCCGACAGGCAGAAGGACGACUUCCUAUAGCUCUAUCUAUCGAUCGUGAGCUAGUUGGACAGACCAAAGCCUUUAUAGAAGAGGCAAAAGCAAUCUUAGCAGCAGAAAAAGAGCAGAAGCAGCAGGAAAAGAGCAGCAAGAAAAGAGCCGCAGCAACCUUGAAGAAGCAGAAACACCCUUCGAAUACCAGCAGCCUCCAAGCAGCAGGAAAAGAGAACCAGGAGCCUUCAAGCAGCAGAAACACCCUUUGA
rnacentral:rRNA from 1 species